GACGAACGCUGGCGGCGUGCUUAACACAUGCAAGUCGAACGGUAAGGCUCCAGCUUGCUGGGGUACACGAGUGGCGAACGGGUGAGUAACACGUGGGUGACCUGCCCUGCACUUCGGGAUAAGCCUGGGAAACUGGGUCUAAUACCGGAUAGGACCAUGGUGUGGAUACUGUGGUGGAAAGUUUUUUCGGUGUGGGAUGGGCCCGCGGCCUAUCAGCUUGUUGGUGGGGUAAUGGCCUACCAAGGCGGCGACGGGUAGCCGGCCUGAGAGGGUGGACGGCCACGUUGGGACUGAGACACGGCCCAGACUCCUACGGGAGGCAGCAGUGGGGAAUAUUGCACAAUGGGCGGAAGCCUGAUGCAGCGACGCCGCGUGGGGGAUGACGGCCUUCGGGUUGUAAACUCCUUUCACCAUCGACGAAGGGUUUCUGACGGUAGAUGGAGAAGAAGCACCGGCUAACUACGUG
rnacentral:rRNA from 1 species